rnacentral:rRNA from 1 species
CUUUACGGAGAAAGCUUUAUGCACCAUUGGAUGAGCCUGCACUUGAUUAGUUUGUUGGUGGGGUAAUGGCCUACCAAGACUUUGAUCAAUAGCUGAUUUGAGAGGAUGAUCAGCCACAUUGGGACUGAG